AGAGUUUGAUCCUGGCUCAGAUUGAACGCUGGCGGUAUGCUUAACACAUGCAAGUCGAACGGCAGCACGUUAUUUCUUUUCGGAGAAAUAAUGGUGGCGAGUGGCGGACGGGUGAGUAACGCGUAGGAAUCUACCUUAAAGUGGGGGAUAACCCGGGGAAACUCGGGCUAAUACCGCAUAAUCUCUACGGAGCAAAGCUGGGGACUAAAGUUUACUUUAGCCUGGCGCUAUAAGAUGAGCCUGCGUCGGAUUAGCUAGUUGGUGGGGUAAUGGCCUACCAAGGUGACGAUCCGUAGCUGGUCUGAGAGGACGAUCAGCCACACUGGGACUGAGACACGGCCCAGACUCCUACGGGAGGCAGCAGUGGGGAAUAUUGGACAAUGGGCGCAAGCCUGAUCCAGCAAUACCGCGUGUGUGAAGAAGGCCUUCGGGUUGU
rnacentral:rRNA from 1 species